CCAAGGAGAGCGCGAAUGAAUAACAGCAGCGCUUCGGAGGAGCUGGAGAACUGGGACUCGCACCCAACGGGGCUGCCGUGGGACCAAACGAACCCUAUCGGCACUGGCCGGUUUGACUCCGCGCAGGUGCCAUCUGGUGCCAGCUUCACCCGCUUUGUCGUAAUAACACGCUUUCAAUUAUUUUUUUUCUCGGCCUCGAUGUUUGAAGCCAACCGAAAGAACUACACGUCAUCAGUUGGUCCGGAAGGUCGGUGGGCUGGAGGACAACAAAAGAGACAGGAGGGCCUCUUUUCCAGUUCCUCUGACGCACCGUUUCUCGCUGUGGCAUGAUGCCUCCAGCAAAUACACACACGCCCACAGUGAAAAGCAUGAAUAAUCAUCUGCAUUCCAACUGUGCCCAGAAAGCAGCCAAUUCUGCUCCGAGUAACAAGAUGGUGUGGCAUUUCGGCAUCGGUUUUCAGCCGUCCUUGCUAAUGUCAGCUGAUUUAAGAAUGCAGACAGCUGUCAUCCAUCAAUAAAGUGCUUACAUGUCUGAAUUUUGUUCUUUUGACAGGAAACUGUCACAUUAAUCCUUGCGUGCUGCGUGAGCUGUGAUAUGAAGUAUUUAGUCAGUACACCCCACCCAAAACGGUUUAUAAUGUCAAUGUAACUGUG